ACACCUCAACUCUCGUGGCUUGCUGCGAUGAGCUUGGACUUUGGGGGUCUUGUUGGCCUGUGAGCCAGCUCCUCUUAAAUGAAUUAGCUUGCCGGUGUUUGGUGGCAUCACAGGUGUGAUAACUAUCUACGCUUGUGGUUUCCCAUCAGAUAACCUCCAGCGAUGGAGGUUCACCGGGGCUUAUAAACACCUCUCCUCGGUGAGGACAGAUUUUGACC
rnacentral:misc_RNA from 1 species